GACCCAUUAGCUCAGUUGGUAGAGCACCUGACUUUUAAUCAGGGUGUCGAUGGUUCGAGUCCAUCAUGGGUCACCA
rnacentral:tRNA from 1 species